UGUAACGUGUCAUGCUUGUUUGGACUCUUUUCGUUGGUCCAAUUUACCCAUCCGAGCCUUAGUCGUUGCUUUAAAGAUCUGUGAACAAGAGGAGAUCGUUGUUUCGAUAGGAUGCAGUACAUUCAGUUGUGUGAGCUUAUAUAUAACGAAUAAUCCACACCGACACGAACGAUUAUUUUGACAACCGGUCUCGAGGAAACGGCCUAGUCCCAUACGGUAGCACCUAAGCAGGGUGCAGGCGUUGAGAAAAAUGCCAGAGGUUUCCAGGACCCUCACAAAGCAAUGACAGACUGAUGUGUGGAAGGACACAUGCGCGCGCAGUCACAAAACGUUACAGGCUCUUUAGAAUUCCCAAUACGCUCCUUCAGAAGAUAUUUCAAGACUUAUCACAAUUACGUGUCUGAUUUCAACGGAGAAUCUGAUUGGAUGUCAUUGUCUAGAACCGGACAGAAUGAAAUACUCUUCGCUUCGAUGGCUGGUUGUUGCAAGGAAUCUUUUUAUUGUUUGAACCGCGUCUUGGGAGUGGAAGUUCAGUUCUUGGAGUCGAAUAUUCAUAGUU